rnacentral:rRNA from 1 species
UACGUAGGGGGCUAGCGUUGUCCGGAAUCAUUGGGCGUAAAGCGCGUGUAGGCGGCUCGGUAAGUCCGCUGUGAAAGUCGGGGGCUCAACCCUCGGAUGCCGGUGGAUACUGUCGGGCUAGAGUACGGAAGAGGCGAGUGGAAUUCCUGGUGUAGCGGUGAAAUGCGUAGAUAUCUGGAGGAACACCGGUGGCGAAGGCGGCAUCCUGGACCAACACUGACACUGAGGAGCGAAAGCCAGGGGAGCAAACGGG